UACGGAGGGGGCUAGCGUUGUUCGGAAUUACUGGGCGUAAAGCGCACGUAGGCGGCUUUGUAAGUCAGGGGUGAAAGCCUGGAGCUCAACUCCAGAACUGCCUUUGAGACUGCAUCGCUUGAAUCCGGGAGAGGUGAGUGGAAUUCCGAGUGUAGAGGUGAAAUUCGUAGAUAUUCGGAAGAACACCAGUGGCGAAGGCGGCUCACUGGACCGGAAUUGACGCUGAGGUGCGAAAGCGUGGGGAGCAAACAGG
rnacentral:rRNA from 1 species